UACGUAGGGUGCGAGCGUUGUCCGGAAUUACUGGGCGUAAAGAGCUUGUAGGUGGUUUGUCGCGUUGUUCGUGAAAUCUCACGGCUUAACUGUGAGCGUGCGAGCGAUACGGGCAGACUAGAGUACUGCAGGGGAGACUGGAAUUCCUGGUGUAGCGGUGGAAUGCGCAGAUAUCAGGAGGAACACCGGUGGCGAAGGCGGGUCUCUGGGCAGUAACUGACGCUGGAGAAGCGAAAGCCGUGGGGAGCGAACAGG
rnacentral:rRNA from 1 species